AGUUAACGCAUUAAGCACUCCGCCUGGGGAGUACGGCCGCAAGGCUGAAACUCAAAGGAAUUGACGGGGGCCCGCACAAGCGGUGGAGCAUGUGGUUUAAUUCGAAGCAACGCGAAGAACCUUACCAGGUCUUGACAUCCUCUGAAAACCCUAGAGAUAGGGCUUCUCCUUCGGGAGCAGAGUGACAGGUGGUGCAUGGUUGUCGUCAGCUCGUGUCGUGAGAUGUUGGGUUAAGUCCCGCAACGAGCGCAACCCUUGAUCUUAGUUGCCAUCAUUAAGUUGGGCACUUUAAGGUGACUGCCGGUGACAAACCGGAGGAAGGUGGGGAUGACGUCAAAUCAUCAUGCCCCUUAUGACCUGGGCUACACACGUGCUACAAUGGACGGUACAAAGAGCUGCAAGACCGCGAGGUGGAGCUAAUCUCAUAAAACCGUUCUCAGUUCGGAUUGUAGGCUGCAACUCGCCUACAUGAAGCUGGAAUCGCUAGUAAU
rnacentral:rRNA from 1 species